UAUUAUUGAAUAUUUAAGCUUCUAAAGUUUUACUAUUUUCAAUAAUACUGUGAAAUGAGUACUAUUGAGAAGAAUUUCUAAGCACAUCUGUGAGCAUUUCCUUAGAAUAUUUUCUUUGAAAUCUACUCUCAUUUUUUUCCCCUUCCAGGUCCUAUUUAAAGACUGUCUAUGGCAGGAGUCCUCAACCUUUUUGACACCAAGAAUCAGUUUCAUGGAAGAUAAUUUUUCCACAGAAGUGGGAGGUGGUGGAGGUGGUGGUUUGGGGAUGAAACCGUUCUACCUCAGAUCAUCAGGCAUUAGUUAGAUUCACAUAAGGAGCGUGCAACUUUGAUCCCUUGCAUGUGCAGUUCACAGUAGGGAUUGCGCUCCUAUAAGAAUCUAUGCCAUAGCUGAUCUGACAGCAGGCAGAGCUCGGGUGGUAAUGCUCACUUUCCUGCCAUUCACCUCCUCCUGAGUUGCCCAGUUCCUAAAGGCCACAGACCAGUACCAGUCUGUGGCCCAGGUGUUAGACCCCUGAUCUAUGACAUGAAACCAUCCUUCAGUCUUUUCACCCAGGAGUCUCAUAUUUUAAUUAUUAAAUGUUUGUCAGUACAAAGUUUAAGUAUACACCACACAUAUAUUUUUCUUUUUUGUUUAUGAAUCAGUUAUGUGUAUGUUUUAGUCCAUCUGUGCUGCUGUAACAAAUACCCCAGACUGAGUAGUUUAUAAAUAAUGAAAAUUGACUUCUCAUGGUUUUGGUGCCUGGGAAGUCCAAGAUCAAGGGGCAGGCAUCUGGCAAGGGCCUUCUUGCUGUGUCCUUUUGUGGUGGGUGGGCAAAGAGAAGAGAGAGAGGCAAAGGGGGGCUGGAACUCAUUUUUUAAAAUCAGGAACCCUCUCCCCUGAUGAUGACAUUAAUCCAUUCAUGACGGCAGAGUCCUCAAGGCCCAAUCAUCUCCUAAAGAUCUAACCUCUCAAUACUAUUAGAAUGGUGAUUAAGUUCAAUACAUGCUUUUUUGGGGAACAUAAUCAAACCAUAUGUGUAUUAGUCUUUAAUAUUAAGAUGUCUUUUUUUUCUGAACCCAUUUUUUAUGAGAUUUAGUGAAUCUUCCUGAGUAUCCCAUUUGAGAGACAAUCACUUUAGCCUUAUUUUUAAUUACUUAGCUAGCAUGUAAGCUAUAAAAGAUAUAACUAAAUACUUGACUCUGUGCUGUCAAAUGUUGAUUUUUAAAAAUUCAUAUAAUUCUAAACUUUUAACAAAAUUACUGAAGCAAAGCUCUCAUAUUUGUCUCUCAUUGUAUAAAAAUUCUAAGCACAUAACUGUCCCCUUUAUUAUAUGAUAAUUCCAACUACAUAACUGUCCUAUUAUUACUUACCUGACAUCACAUUCCCAAUCAUUGUCACAACUCCUGAAUCUUGUUCCAUUUCUUCCACAACCAGGCUAAUUUUACCCCUUCUUCAGUGACAGAAGAGGCCUGGGCUUUGACUGAGCCUAAAUAUAUUUGCUAUUUCAGGUGACAUUUAGCGAUGUGGCUAUAGACUUCUCUCAUGAAGAGUGGGCAUGCCUAGAUUCUGCUCAGAGGGACUUAUAUAAGGAUGUGAUGGUCCAGAAUUAUGAGAACCUGGUCUCUGUAGGUCUUUCCAUAACUAAGCCAUAUGUGAUCAUGUUAUUGGAGGAUGGAAAAGAGCCCUGGAUGAUGGAGAAAAAACUGUCAAAAGAUUGGGAAUCAAGAUGGGAAAAUGAGGAAUUAUCAACAAAGAAGGAUAUUUAUGAUGAAGAUUCACCCCAACCAGUAACAAUAGAAAAAGUUGUAAAACAAAGUUAUGAAUUUUCAAAUUCUAAUAAGAAUUUGGAAUAUACAGAGUGCGACACGUUUAGAAGCACCUUUCAUUCAAAGUCUAUUCUUUCUGAACCACAAAACAAUUCUGCUGAAGGAAAUUCACACAAAUAUGAUAUAUUAAAGAAUAAUUUAUCAAAAAAGUCAGGUAUAAAAAGUGAGAGAAUAAAUGGUGGAAAGAAACUUUUAAAUUCUAAUAAAAGUGUGGCAGCCUUCAACCAGAGCAAAUCUCUUACCCUUCCCCAGACUUGUAAUAGAGAGAAAAUCUAUACAUGCAGUGAAUGUGGGAAAGCCUUUGGCAAACAGUCAAUCCUCAAUCGCCAUUGGAGAAUUCAUACAGGAGAGAAGCCCUAUGAAUGUCAUGAAUGUGGGAAGACUUUUAGCCAUGGCUCAUCCCUUACACGACAUCAGAUAAGUCAUAGUGGAGAGAAACCUUACAAAUGUAUUGAAUGCGGGAAGGCCUUUAGCCAUGGCUCAUCACUUACUAACCAUCAGAGCACUCACACUGGAGAGAAACCAUAUGAAUGUAUGAACUGUGGAAAGUCUUUUAGUCGUGUGUCCCUUCUCAUUCAGCAUCUAAGAAUUCAUACGCAAGAAAAACGCUAUGAGUGUCGUAUAUGUGGAAAGGCCUUCAUUCAUAGUUCAUCUCUCAUUCACCAUCAGAAAAGCCAUACUGGAGAGAAACCUUAUGAAUGUAGAGAAUGUGGGAAAGCUUUCUGCUGUAGCUCACACCUUACUCAACAUCAAAGAAUUCACAGUAUGAAGAAAAAAUAUGAAUGCAACAAAUGUCUCAAAGUCUUUAGUAGCUUCUCAUUUCUUGUUCAACAUCAGAGUAUUCAUACUGGAGAAAAACCGUUUGAAGUUUAGAAAUGCAGGAAAUCCUUCAACCAGCUUGGAUCACUGAAUAUGCAUUUGAGAAAUCACAUUAGAUUGAAACCCUAUGAAUGCAGUAUAUGUGGGAAAGCCUUUAGUCAUAGGUCAUCCCUGCUUCAACAUCACAGAAUUCAUACUGGAGAGAAACCUUACGAAUGUGUUAAAUGUGGGAAGACCUUCAGCUGUAGUUCAAACCUUACUGUACAUCAGAGAAUUCAUACUGGAGAAAAGCCAUAUAAAUGUAGUGAGUGUGGAAAAGCUUUUAGCAAAGGCUCGACUCUUACUGCCCAUCAAAGAGUACAUAAUGGAGAGAAACCCAAUAGUGUGGUAAGUGUGGAAAAGCCUUUAGAUCAUAUGAAUCCCUAUACAUGUGAGAAAUCUUACAGAAGAGAAGCAGUGUUUAUCAUGGUAAAGCCUUUGUCAGUAUUAAUCCCUUAAUUGACAUAAGUAUACUCACACUAGGAAAAAUCUGUGUACAUGUAGCAUAUGUAGGAAAGACUAUAGGCAAUGGAAUCUCCUACAAACUCCUACAGGAGAAAAGUUGUAUGAAUAUGGAAACUUUAGAAAUUGAAGGAAUUUUUCAGUUCCAAAUGCAUCCCUUAUUCUAUAGGAAAUAAACUGGAGACAAAUCUCAUUUAAGAGAUGCAGCAAAGUGUUCACUAAGAGUAUUUAUCUUGCCAGACAUCAGAAAAUGAAUGGUAGAGCAACCUGAAGGAUUUAGAAAUUACAUAUAAAUCUUUUCAGUGAUGCUAUUUGUAAACAGGAUUCUAUAGGAGAGCAAAUAAACAUAAGUAUGCAUUUCUUAGAGCAGUAGCUUGCAGUUUCAAUUGAGUUCUAUUUAGAAAUUCUUUUUAGCUACUGGGCAUGUGAAGAUAUUUAGUUACCCAGAGGAGCCAGUAAAUGUUAUAAUGUUAAAAAUUAAAGCUGCAAAAUAAAUAAAAUGGUGUUAAUAAAAGUUUGGCAUCUAAUAAAAUCAUUUUGUAUAUC
rnacentral:sRNA from 1 species